GCGAAAUCAAACCAAUGUAAUUAUAGUUCAUCGAUAUACUAUGGUGGUCAAGACCUCUAUACUUUACCGGAGAGUACCCAGGGCUCUUUCUUUACAUCUUUCACAGAUGAGGCAGGAGAUGACUCGAACAUGGCUUCGAGAGGCAACUGGUGGCUAGGAUCUCUUUAUUACUAGCUGAUCAUCACCAUGGCCUGUGAAUUUACUACAUAGUUACCUAGGGAGACAGAGAUAGAUGUUGGGCAGCAGCAGUUUUUUCAUACUUCCUGCAAUAAUGGAAAAAUAGAUAGAAAAUAGCAGUUAGCCUUUCAUUUGUUAUGUCAAAUGUUUCCCCUUUUAGCAUCUAUACUACCAGGAUGUUAAAGUGUUAAACUUGGUGAUUUUAGCCUUUUCGGCUGUAGAAUGUAUAUAUAUUAUGCUCAUCUAUCUUAAUAUCAACAUUUCUU